AAGACGAGGGUGGUCGGAAGCCGGCUAAUUUAAGCGGCUCGCUAGAAAUGUUUUCUCGAGCUAUAUGGAAAGACCUACUCCAGGAGAGAGAGAAAAAAGUGGAAAGCUUGGCUGCAAUAGGUAGAGAAAAGAGGUUUGCGAUGUGAAAUUCACAUAAAGACAUGAAACUUUAUGGUUGGACACAUUGCAACUGCUGCAAAAUUAGAUGAUGUGGAUCAAUAAAUUGUUGUUAAUUACUAAAUUCUUUGGAUCUCUAUCCCCAAGAAGAUAAAGCAUACACAGAUUUUGAAUGCAUUUUACUUAUUAUGAAGUACCUAACAGUUUUUCAUACUCUCUGCCUGAAAUGCAGGUUGUUAGUUGAUAUUGCAAAAAUGAGGCAAAAAAAAAAGGAGGCAGAAAUGGUUUUUUGAGGCUCGGAUAUUGAAGUGGUGGUGGUGGUGGUGGUGGUGGUGAUGGAGAAGAUGGAGUUGUAGAAGUUGAAUAAAAUGAUAUAACUUAAGGUUUUGACUAGUGUUUUGUCACUUUUUUUUUUUUUUUAAAUUUUUGUUGCUUUUUUAGUGUUUAUCAAUUUUCAUUUUUUUAAUGGAACAUGAUACUUUUUUAAAUAUGUUCGUGUUUGCGUUCAUUUUUCCUCUAUUUUGUGUGUAUAGUUUUUUGUACUUAGGCUUUGGUCUAGUGGUAGUAAUAGUGUUGGCGACGAAGAAAGCGGAGGAAUAGAGUUUCAUUGUACCUACUGUAUAUAAUGUCCUUGCAAAUGAUAGUGGCCAGUCUUAAGGCUUAUGACUAUCAUUUUAAGGACCAUAAGAUACUUUCUACCUUGACUACAAUACUCUAGGAAACCACCUACUAGAGUUAGAAGUUCAAUUCACAUGGUGAUUUAGCAUGUGUUACCAUCUAUUGUAGUAGUUGCUGCUGAUAGUUGAAUUUUCCUCCAUUUGCUUUCUUAAUUCUUAAGAUGUAUUCUUGGUAAUUUUAUC